GUAGGGUGCGAGCGUUAAUCGGAAUUACUGGGCGUAAAGCGUGCGCAGGCGGUUAUAUAAGACAGAUGUGAAAUCCCCGGGCUCAACCUGGGACCUGCAUUUGUGACUGUAUAGCUAGAGUACGGUAGAGGGGGAUGGAAUUCCGCGUGUAGCAGUGAAAUGCGUAGAUAUGCGGAGGAACACCGAUGGCGAAGGCAAUCCCCUGGACCUGUACUGACGCUCAUGCACGAAAGCGUGGGGAGCAAACAGGAUUAGAUACCCUGGUAGUCCACGCCCUAAACGAUGUCGACUGGUUGUUGGGUCUUCACUGACUCAGUAACGAAGCUAACGCGUGAAGUUGACCGCCUGGGGAGUACGGCCGCAAGGUUG
rnacentral:rRNA from 1 species